AGCUUUGCACAGUGGCACUAUCAUAGCUAAUGAGAUUUAUCGGAGGCUCAAUUAUUGCUAAUUGAAAACUUUUCCCAAUACCCCACCAUGAUGACAUGAAAUAUAGUCGGCAUUGGCAAUUUUUGACAGUCCUGACAGAGA
rnacentral:snRNA from 1 species